UUGAACGCUGGCGGUAGGCUUAACACAUGCAAGUCGUGCGAGAAAGUAUCUUCGGAUAUGAGUAGAGCGGCGGACGGGUGAGUAACGCGUAGGAAUCUACCUAGUAGAAGGGGAUAGCCCGAGGAAACUCGGAUUAAUACCGUAUACCUCCUUCGGGAGAAAGAAGGCCUCUCUUUGAAGCUUUCGCUACUAGAUGAGCCUGCGUAAGAUUAGUUUGUUGGUAGGGUAAUGGCCUACCAAGACUGUGAUCAAUAGCUGAUUUGAGAGGAUGAUCAGCCACAUUGGGACUGAGACACGGCCCAAAACUCCUACGGGAGGCAGCAGUGGGGAAUCUUGC
rnacentral:rRNA from 1 species